rnacentral:rRNA from 1 species
CUGGAAGGGUGGUGGGGAUGACGUCAAGUCAUCAUGGCCCUUACGGCCUGGGCUACACACGAGCUACAAUGGUCGGUACAGAGGGUUGCGAAGCCGCGAGGUGCAGCUAAUCUCACAAAACCGUGCGUAGUCCGGAUCGCAGUCUGCAACUCGACUGCGUGAAGUCGGAAUCGCUAGUAAUCGCAAAUCAGUAUGUUGCGGUGAAUACGUUCCCGGGCCUUGUACCACACCGCCCGUCACACCAUGGGAGUGGGUUGCACCAGAACUAGCU